GACGAACGCUGGCGGCGUGCUUAACACAUGCAAGUCGAACGGAAAGGCCCUGCUUUUGUGGGGUGCUCGAGUGGCGAACGGGUGAGUAACACGUGAGUAACCUGCCCUUGACUUUGGGAUAACUUCAGGAAACUGGGGCUAAUACCGGAUAGGAGCUCCUGCUGCAUGGUGGGGGUUGGAAAGUUUCGGCGGUUGGGGAUGGACUCGCGGCUUAUCAGCUUGUUGGUGGGGUAGUGGCUUACCAAGGCUUUGACGGGUAGCCGGCCUGAGAGGGUGGCCGGCCACAUUGGGACUGAGAUACGGCCCAGACGCCUACGGGAGGCAGCAGUGGGGAAUAUUGCACAAUGGGCGGAAGCCUGAUGCAGCAACGCCGCGUGCGGGAGGACGGCCUUCGGGUUGUAAACCGCUUUCGCCUGUGACGAAGCGUGAGUGACGGUAAUGGGUAAAGAAGCACCGGCUAACUACGU
rnacentral:rRNA from 1 species